AUUGAACGCUGGCGGCAGGCCUAACACAUGCAAGUCGAGCGGAUGAAGGGAGCUUGCUCCUGGAUUCAGCGGCGGACGGGUGAGUAAUGCCUAGGAAUCUGCCUGGUAGUGGGGGAUAACGUCCGGAAACGGGCGCUAAUACCGCAUACGUCCUGAGGGAGAAAGUGGGGGAUCUUCGGACCUCACGCUAUCAGAUGAGCCUAGGUCGGAUUAGCUAGUUGGUGGGGUAAAGGCCUACCAAGGCGACGAUCCGUAACUGGUCUGAGAGGAUGUUCAGUCACACUGGAACUGAGACACGGUCCAGACUCCUACGGGAGGCAGCAGUGGGGAAUAUUGGACAAUGGGCGAAAGCCUGAUCCAGCCAUGCCGCGUGUGAAGAGGGUCUUCGGAUUGUAAAGCACUUUAAGUUGGGAGGAAGGGCAGUAAGUUAAUACCUUGCUGUUUUGACGUUACCAACAGAAUAAGCACCGGCUAACUUCGUG
rnacentral:rRNA from 1 species